GGCACUGUAGUUCAACCUGGUAGAACACUAGUCUCAUGAGCUAGUUGUUGGGGGUUCAAAUCCCCCUGGUGCCA
rnacentral:tRNA from 1 species